rnacentral:rRNA from 1 species
CGGGUGAGUAAUGUAUGGGGAUCUGCCUGAUGGGGGGGGAUAACUACUGGAAACGGUAGCUAAUACCGCAUAAUGUCUGCGGACCAAAGAGGGGGACCUUCGGGCCUCUUGCCAUCGGAUGUGCCCAGAUGGGAUUAGCUAGUAGGUGGGGUAACGGCUCACCUAGGCGACGAUCCCUAGCUGGUCUGAGAGGAUGACCAGCCACACUGGAACUGAGACACGGUCCAG